rnacentral:rRNA from 1 species
UACGUAGGGUGCAAGCGUGUCCGGAAUUAUUGGGCGUAAAGGGCUCGUAGGCGGUCCAUCACGUCGGGAGUGAAAAGCUGGGGCUUAACCCCAGUCCUGCUUCCGAUACGGGUGGACUAGAGGUAGGCAGGGGAGAACGGAAUUCCUGGUGUAGCGGUGAAAUGCGCAGAUAUCAGGAGGAACACCGAUUGCGAAGGCAGCUCGCUGGGACGUAACUGACGCUGAGACGCGAAAGCGUGGGAGCAAACAGG